GCGCGGCGGGGCGGAGUCUGAAGGCCAGGUGCGCGCCGAGCUCCGCUCCCGGGAUGAGGCGCGAGAGCUGGGCUGCGGCGGGGACCCGGCUCUCGGUCGGGCGGGACGUGGGGCGGAGGCUGACAGCGGGUGGGGGCGGGGCCCGGGCGCUUUCCGCCGUGCAGUCCCGCCCCGCUGGUCCCGAGCUCCCUCCACCGCCUCCACCUUCCACCCCGCGCCGGCUUUCUAUGCGACAGUCGUCGCGUCCCAUUGUCGCUCGGCCCUGGCGGCGCCCGAGCCCGCAAUGUCGGGCCCCAACGGGGACCUGGGCAUGCCGGUGGAGGCGGGAGCGGAAGGCGAGGACGACGGCUUCGGGGCAGCAGGGAGAACCCAAGAGCCCCACCAACCUCUUCACCCCCCACGACUGCCCAGCGCCUGCUCUGCCACUUCUCCUGACCCUACCAGUUACCCCUCUCUAACACCCCAGUGGGUUCUACCCGGAUGUCCCACUGCCCCUACAUCUCACCCAAAAUCUACUGAAGAGUUUAACCAUGAGGAAAACACCCAACAAAUCCCAAUAGAGGGACAGUCUACCCAAUGCCUAUAGCAGUGCUCCUCCCAACGGUCAAGGUCAUCAAAACCAAGGAAAAUCUGAGAAACUGUCAGAGCCAAGAGAAGCCUAAAGAGACAUGACAACUGAAUGUAACCUGGAUCCUGGAACAGGAAAAGAGCAUUAUGUACAAACCAAGGAGGUCUGAAUAAAGCAUGGACUUUAGUUAAAGUAUCAUUGGUGGUUUUUAAUUGUAACAAAUGUAUCAUACUAGUAUAAGAUGUUAAUAAUAUGGGAAACUGGGUGCAGGGUAUAUGGGAACUCUUCACAAUUUUUCUGUAAAUCUAAAACUUUUUAAAUUAAAAGUUUAUUUUUAAAAGCUUGUCAAAUUCUGC